rnacentral:rRNA from 1 species
UGGGGAAUUUUGGACAAUGGGGGAAACCCUGAUCCAGCCAUCCCGCGUGUGCGAUGAAGGCCUUCGGGUUGUAAAGCACUUUUGGCAGGAAAGAAACGUCAUGGGUUAAUACCCCGUGAAACUGACGGUACCUGCAGAAUAAGCACCGUCUAACUACGUGCCAGCAGCCGCGGUAAUACGUAGGGUGCAAGCGUUAAUCGGAAUUACUGGGCGUAAAGCGUGCGCAGGCGGUUCGGAAAGAAAGAUGUGAAAUCCCAUAGCUCAACUUUGGACCUGCAUUUUUAACUACCGAGCUAGUGUGUGUCAGAGCGACGUGGAAUUCCGCGUGUCGCCGUGCAAUUCGUAGAUAUUCGGAGGAACACCGAUGGCGAAGGCAGCCUCCUGGGAUAACACUGACGCUCAUGCACGCAAGCGUGGGGAGCAAACAGG